UUAUUUUUAUGAGAGAUCAGAUUUGAGCCCAACUAAUACUGGACUGGUUUCCAGGAAACAGAUGACGUCUUGGACUAGGCUCAAUCUGUGCCCGGGAAACGGUCCAUUAAUGUUUGAAGUGCUCGUUCUGCACAACCUAAAGCUCUUACACUGAGUUCAAGUUGUUGCAGUGAGAAACAUAACUAUGUACGGAGCCUUCAGAAAGUAUUCAGACCCUCUGACUUUUUCCACAUUUUGUUACGUUACAACCUUAUUCUAAAAUCGACACAAAACCCCAUAAUGACAUAAUGACAAAGCGAAAACAGAUUUAUAAAAAACUGUAAAACAGAAAUACCUUAUUUACAUAAGUAUUCAGACCCUUUGCUAUGAGACUUGAAAUUGAGCUCAGGUGCAUCCUGUUUCCAUUGAUCAUCAUUGAGAUGUUUCUGCUACUUCAUUGGAGUCCACUUGUAGUAAAUUCAAUUGAUUGGACAUGAUUCAUGGGGGUGGCAGGUAGCCUAGUGGUUAGAGGAGGUAGCCUAGUGGUUAGAGGAGGCAGGUAGCCUAGUGGUUAGAGGAGGGAGGUAGCCUAGUGGUUAGAGGAGGCAGGUAGCCUAGUGGUUAGAGGAGGCAGGUAGCCUAGUGGUUAGAGGAGGCAGGUAGCCUAGUGGUUAGAGGAGGCAGGUAGCCUAGUGGUUAGAGGAGGGAGGUAGCCUAGUGGUUAGAGGAGGCAGGUAGCCUAGUGGUUAGAGGAGGCAGGUAGCCUAGUGGUUAGAGGAGGCAGGUAGCCUAGUGGUUAGAGGAGGCAGGUAGCCUAGUGGUUAGAGGAGGCAGGUAGCCUAGUGGUUAGAGGAGGGAGGUAGCCUAGUGGUUAGUGGAGGCAGGUAGCCUAGUGGUUAGAGGAGGCAGGUAGCCUAGUGCUUAGAGGAGGCAGGUAGCCUAGUGGUUAGAGGAGGCAGGUAGCCUAGUGGUUAGAGGAGGCAGGUAGCCUUGUGGUUAGAUGAGUCAGGUAGCCUAGUGGUUAGAGGAGUCAGGUAGCCUAGUGGUUAGAGGAGGCAGGUAGCCUAGUGGUUAUAGGAGGCAGGUAGCCUAGUGGUUAGAGGAGGCAGGUAGCCUAGUGGUUAGAGGAGGCAGGUGACCUAGUGGUGAGAGGAGGCAGGUAGCCUAGUGGUUAGAGGAGGCAGGUAGCCUAGUGGUUAGAGGAGGCAGGUAGCCUAGUGGUUAGAGGAGGCAGGUAGCCUAGUGGUUAGAGGAGGCAGGUAGCCUAGUGGUUAGAGGAGGCAGGUAGCCUAGUGGUUAGAGGAGGCAGGUGACCUAGUGGUGAGAGGAGGCAGGUAGCCUAGUGGUUAGAGGAGGCAGGUAGCCUAGUGGUUAGAGGAGGCAGGUAGCCUAGUGGUUAGAGGAGGCAGGUAGCCUAGUGGUUAGAGGAGGCAGGUAGACUAGUGGUUAGAGGAGGCAGGUAGCCUAGUGGUUAGAGGAGGCAGGUAGCCUAGUGGUUAGAGGAGGCAGGUAGCCUAGUGGUUAGAGGAGGCAGGUAGCCUAGUGUUUAGAGGAGGCAGGUAGCCUAGUGGUUAGAGGAGGCAGGUAGCCUAGUGGUUAGAGGAGGCAGGUAGCCUAGUGGUUAGAGGAGGCAGGUAGCCUAGUGGUUAGAGGAGGCAGGUAGCCUAGUGGUUAGAGGAGGCAGGUAGCCUUGUGGUUAGAUGAGUCAGGUAGCCUCGUGGUAAGAGGAGGCAGGUAGCCUAGUGGUUAGAGGAGGCAGGUAGCCUAGUGGUUAUAGGAGGCAGGUAGCCUAGUGGUUAGAGGAGGCAGGUAGCCUAGUGGUUAGAGGAGGCAGGUGACCUAGUGGUGAGAGGAGGCAGGUAGCCUAGUGGUAAGAGGAGGCAGGUAGCCUAGUGGUUAGAGGGGGCAGGUAGCCUAGUGGUUAGAGGGGGCAGGUAGCCUAGUGGUUAGAGGAGGCAGGUAGCCUAGUGGUUAGAGGAGGCAGGUGACCUAGUGGUUAGAGGAGGCAGGUGACCUAGUGGUGAGAGGAGGCAGGUAGCCUAGUGGUUAGAGGAGGCAGGUAGCCUAGUGGUUAGAGGAGGCAGGUAGCCUAGUGAUUAGAGGAGGGAGGUAGCCUAGUGGUUAGAGGAGGCAGGUAGCCUAGUGGUUAGAGGAGGCAGGUAGCCUAGUGGUUAGAGGAGGCAGGUAGCCUAGUGGUUAGAGGAGGCAGGUAGCCUAGUGGUUAAAGGAGGCAGGUAGCCUAGUGGUUAGAGGAGGCAGGUAGCCUUGUGGUUAGAUGAGUCAGGUAGCCUCGUGGUUAGAGGAGGCAGGUGACCUAGUGGUGAGAGGAGGCAGGUAGCCUAGUGGUUAGAGGAGGCAGGUAGCCUAGUGGUUAGAGGAGGCAGGUAGCCUAGUGGUUAGAGGAGGCAGGUAGCCUAGUGGUUAGAGGAGGCAGGUAGCCUAGUGGUUAGAGGAGGCAGGUAGCCUAGUGGUUAGAGGAGGCAGGUGACCUAGUGGUGAGAGGAGGCAGGUAGCCUAGUGGUUAGAGGAGGCAGGUAGCCUAGUGGUUAGAGGAGGCAGGUAGCCUAGUGGUUAGAGGAGGCAGGUAGCCUAGUGGUUAGAGGAGGCAGGUAGCCUAGUGGUUAGAGGAGGCAGGUAGCCUAGUGGUUAGAGGAGGCAGGUAGCCUAGUGGUUAGAGGAGGCAGGUAGCCUAGUGGUUAGAGGAGGCAGGUAGCCUAGUGGUUAGAGGAGGGAGGUAGCCUAGUGGUUAGAGGAGGCAGGUAGCCUAGUGGUUAGAGGAGGCAGGUAGCCUAGUGGUUAGAGGAGGCAGGUAGCCUAGUGGUUAAAGGAGGCAGGUAGCCUAGUGGUUAGAGGAGGCAGGUAGCCUUGUGGUUAGAUGAGUCAGGUAGCCUCGUGGUUAGAGGAGGCAGGUGACCUAGUGGUGAGAGGAGGCAGGUAGCCUAGUGGUUAGAGGAGGCAGGUAGCCUAGUGGUUAGAGGAGGCAGGUAGCCUAGUGGUUAGAGGAGGCAGGUAGCCUAGUGGUUAGAGGAGGCAGGUAGCCUAGUGGUUAGAGGAGGCAGGUAGCCUAGUGGUUAGAGGAGGCAGGUGACCUAGUGGUGAGAGGAGGCAGGUAGCCUAGUGGUUAGAGGAGGCAGGUAGCCUAGUGGUUAGAGGAGGCAGGUAGCCUAGUGGUUAGAGGAGGCAGGUAGCCUAGUGGUUAGAGGAGGCAGGUAGUCUAGUGGUUAGAGGAGGCAGGUAGCCUAGUGGUUAGAGGAGGCAGGUGACCUAGUGGUUAGAGGAGGCAGGUAGCCUAGUGGUUAGAGGAGGCAGGUAGCCUAGUGGUUAGAGGAGGCAGGUAGCCUAGUGGUUAGAGGAGGCAGGUAGCCUAGUGGUUAGAGGAGGCAGGUAGCCUAGUGGUUAGAGGAGGCAGGUAGCCUAGUGGUUAGAGGAGGCAGGUGACCUAGUGGUGAGAGGAGGCAGGUAGCCUAGUUGUUAGAGGAGGCAGGUAGCCUAGUGGUUAGAGGAGGCAGGUAGCCUAGUGGUUAGAGGAGGCAGGUAGCCUAGUGGUUAGAGGAGGCAGGUAGCCUAGUGGUUAGAGGAGGCAUGUAGCCUAGUGGUUAGAGGAGGGAGGUAGCCUAGUGGUUAAAGGAGGCAGGUAGCCUAGUGGUUAGAGGAGGCAGGUAGCCUAGUGGUUAGAGGAGGCAGGUAGCCUAGUGGUUAGAGGAGGCAGGUAGCCUAGUGGUUAGAGGAGGCAUGUAGUCUAGUGGUUAGAAGAGGCAGGUAGCCUAGUGGUUAGAGGAGGCAGGUAGCCUAGUGGUUAGAGGAGGCAGGUAGCCUAGUGGUUAGAGGAGGCAGGUAGCCUAGUGGUUAGAGGAGGCAGGUAGCCUAGUGGUUAGAGGAGGCAGGGAGCCUAGUGGUUAGAGGAGGCAGGUAGCCUAGUGGUUAGAGGAGGUAGCCAGCCUAGUGGUUAGAGGAGGCAGGUAGCCUAGUGGUUAGAGGAGGCAGGUAGCCUAGUGGUUAGAGGAGGCAGGUAGCCUAGUGGUUAGAGGAGGUAGCCUAGUGGUUAGAGGAGGCAGGUAGCCUAGUGGUUAGAGGAGGGAGGUAGCCUAGUGGUUAGAGGAGGCAGGUAGCCUAGUGGUUAGAGGAGGCAGGUAGCCUAGUGGUUAGAGGAGGCAGGUAGCCUAGUGGUUAGAGGAGGCAGGUAGCCUAGUGGUUAGAGGAGGCAGGUAGCCUAGUGGUUAGAGCAUUGGACUAGUAACCAAAAGAUUGCUAAAUCGAAUCCCCGAGCUGACAAGGUAAAAAUCUGUCGUUCUGCCCCUGAACAAGGCAGUUAACCCAGUGUUCCUAGACCAGUUAACCCACUGUUCCCCGGUAGGCCAUCAUUGUAAAUCAGAAUUUGUUCUUAACUGACUUGCGUAGUUAAAUAAUAAUACAAAAUUCUGUAGAGCUCCGAGACAGGAUUGUGUCAAGGCACUGAUCUGGGAAAGGGUACCAAAAAAAUGUCUGCAGCAUUGAAGGUCCCAAGAAUACAGAGGCCUCCAUCAUUAUUAAAUGGAAGAAGUUUGGGAACCACCAAGACUUUUCCAAGAGCUGGCCGCCCGGCUAAACUGAGCAAUCGGGGGAGAAGGGCCUUGGGCAGGGAGGUGACCAAGAACCUGGGAGAACCUUCCAGAACCUUGCAGCACUCCACCAAUCAGGCCUUUAUGGUAGAGUGGCCAGACAGUAGCAACUCCUCAGUAAAAGGCACAUGACAGCCCGCUUGGAGUUUGCCAAAAAGGCACCUAAAGGACUCUCAGACCAUAAGAAACAAGAUUCUCUGGUCUGAUGAAACCAAGAUUGAACUCUUUGGCCUGAAUGCCAAGCGUCACGUCUGGAAGAAACCUGGCACCAUCCCUACGGUGAAGCAUGGUGGUGGCAGCAUCAUGCUGUUGGUAUGUUUUUCAGUGGCAGGGACCCGGGAGACUAGUCAGGAUUGAGGCAAAGAUGAAUGGAGCAAAGUACAGAGAGAUCAUUGAUGAAAACCUGCUCCAGAGCUUUCAGGACAUCAGACUGGGGCGAACUUUCAUCUUCCAACAGGACAACGACCCUAAGAACACAGCCAAGACAACGCAGGAGUGGCUUCGGGACAAGUCUCUGAAUGUCCUUGACUGGCCCAGCCAGAGCCCGGACUUGUACCUGAUCGAACAUCUCUAGAGUCUUGAAAGUAGCUGUGCAGCGAUGCUCUCCAUCCAACCUGACAGAGCUUGAGAGGAUCUGCAGAGAAGAAUGGGAUAAACUCCCCAAAUACAGGUGUGCCACGAUUGUAGUGUCAUACCCAAGAAGACUCAAGGCUGUAAAUACUGCCAAAGAUGCUUCAACAAAGUACUGAGUAAAGGGUCUGAAUACCUAUGUAAAUGUGAGAUUUCUGUAUUUUAGCAAAAAUUCAAAAAAACUGUUUUUGAUACGUUGUUAUGGGGCAUUGUGUGUAGAUUGAUGAGGAAAAGUAACAAUUUAAUCCAUUUUAGCAUCGGGCUGUAACCUAACAAGACUGUUAUAAAAGCAUAUAAUUGAAGCCAAUAUUUUGGACAAUUCUGUACAUAAUCUUCAAAAAGAAAUAAUGAAAAUGUUAAAAUAAUAAUAUUUCUGUUUUAAUU